rnacentral:rRNA from 1 species
ACGAACGCUGGCGGCAGGCUUAACACAUGCAAGUCGAACGCGUGUAGCAAUACACGAGUGGCGCACGGGUGAGUAAUACUUGGGAACGUGCCCUUCAGUCUGGGAUAACAGCGGGAAACUGCUGCUAAUACCGGAUAUUCCCUCCGGGGGAAAGUUUUUCGCUGAAGGAUCGGCCCAAGCCAGAUUAGGUAGUUGGUGAGGUAAUGGCUCACCAAGCCUACGAUCUGUAGCUGGUCUGAGAGGACGGCCAGCCACACUGGAACUGAGACACGGUCCAGACUCCUACGGGAGGCAGCAGUGGGGAAUAUUGGACAAUGGGGGAAACCCUGAUCCAGCCAUGCCGCGUGAGUGAUGAAGGCCUUAGGGUUGUAAAGCUCUUUUGCCAGGGAAGAUGAUGACGGUACCUGGAGAAUAAGCACCGGCUAACUUCGU